UACGUAGGGAGCAAGCGUUGUCCGGAUUCAUUGGGCGUAAAGAGCUCGUAGGCGGCUAAGUAAGUCAGAUGUGAAAACUCCAGGCUCAACCUGGAGACGCCAUUUGAUACUGCUUUGGCUUGAGUUCGGUAGGGGACCAUGGAAUUCCUGGUGUAGCGGUGAAAUGCGCAGAGAUCGGGAGGAACACCCGUAGCGAAGGCGGCACUCUGGGCCGGUACUGACACUGAGGAGCGAAAGCGUGGGUAGCGAACAGG
rnacentral:rRNA from 1 species